rnacentral:rRNA from 1 species
UACGUAGGGUGCAAGCGUGUCCGGAAUUAUUGGGCGUAAAGAGCUCGUAGGCGGUCUGUCGCGUCUGCUGUGAAAACCUAGGGCUUAACUCUGGGCGUGCAGUGGGGUACGGGCAGACUAGAGUGAUGUAGGGGGAGACUGGAAUUCCUGGUGUAGCGGUGAAAUGCGCAGAUAUCAGGAGGAACACCGAUGGCGAAGGCGGUUCUCUGGGCAUUACCUGACGUGAGGAGCGAAAAGUGUGGGGAGCGAACAGG